rnacentral:tRNA from 1 species
UUUCACAGUGGACAGACGCUGUUCCACUCGUCUUACUAGGUAUCCGCAAUGCAUUAAAGGCUGACAU